rnacentral:rRNA from 1 species
UACAGGGGGUGCAAGCGUUGUUCGGAAUUAUUGGGCGUAAAGCGCGUGUAGGCGGGCCACUAAGUCCGGUGUGAAAUCCCUCGGCUUAACCGAGGAAGAGAAUUGGAUACUGGUGGUCUUGAGUACUGGAGAGGGUAGCGGAAUUCCCAGUGUAGAGGUGAAAUUCGUAGAUAUUGGGAGGAACACCGGUGGCGAAGGCGGCUACCUGGACAGUGACUGACGCUGAGACGCGAAAGCAUGGGUAGCAAACAGGAUUAGAUACCCUGGUAGUCCAUGCCGUAAACGAUGGGUGCUAGUUGGUGCGGGUAUUGACCCCUGCGCUGACGAAUCUAACGCGUUAAGCACCCCGCCUGGGGAGUACUGCCGCAAGGCUA